ACACUGCAUCCUAGGGCCCCGAGCUCGGUGCCUGUGCAAACAACACACUGCAUCCUAGGGCCCCGAGCUCGGUGCCUGUGCAAACAACACACUGCAUCCUAGGGCCCCGAGCUCGGUGCCUGUGCAAACAACACACUGCAUCCUAGGGCCCCGAGCUCGGUGCCUGUGCAAACAACACACUGCAUCCUAGGGCCCCGAGCUCGGUGCCUGUGCAAACAACACACUGCAUCCUAGGGCCCCGAGCUCGGUGCCUGUGCAAACAACACACUGCAUCCUAGGGCCCCGAGCUCGGUGCCUGUGCAAACAACACACUGCAUCCUAGGGCCCCGAGCUCGGUGCCUGUGCAAACAACACACUGCAUCCUAGGGCCCCGAGCUCGGUGCCUGUGCAAACAACACACUGCAUCCUAGGGCCCCGAGCUCGGUGCCUGUGCAAACAACACACUGCAUCCUAGGGCCCCGAGCUCGGUGCCUGUGCAAACAACACACUGCAUCCUAGGGCCCCGAGCUCGGUGCCUGUGCAAACAACACACUGCAUCCUAGGGCCCCGAGCUCGGUGCCUGUGCAAACAACACACUGCAUCCUAGGGCCCCGAGCUCGGUGCCUGUGCAAACAACACACUGCAUCCUAGGGCCCCGAGCUCGGUGCCUGUGCAAACAACACACUGCAUCCUAGGGCCCCGAGCUCGGUGCCUGUGCAAACAACACACUGCAUCCUAGGGCCCCGAGCUUGGUGCCUGUGCAAACAACACACUGCAUCCUAGGGCCCCGAGCUCGGUGCCUGUGCAAACAACACACUGCAUCCUGAGGCCCUGUAUGUGCGUACAUCACCUUCUGCCAUGGGGCCUUGUUCCAGGACGGGAUUUCCUGUGUGGAUACGUGCACAUUUGAUCCACAGUCCACAAAAAUGGUUCACAGACCUCCACAUCCACUGAUAUAAAGCGGGUCUACAGAUUUUCAGAGCUCUACUCUUAAGUGCUACUGCAAUACGAAUACGUUAUAGUAAUUAAUUAUUAUUAUUUAUCAUUUCCAUCCUGCCAAGUUAUGUGGGACUUUUGUGAUGGGGAAGACACAGUGCUACAUAGUCCUGUAUUUUGCUUCACCCACUAGUGAGUCUGCAAAUCUCCUCUUAUUUGCAAGCUAAGAAGAGUACCCUUUCAGAGCCAGUGGGUAUCAACAGGCAUUGCUUCAUUUUCCCCUUUGAUCCAUUCCAGAAGAGGCUUUACCAAAUGGAUCCUGAGCCCUUGGAAGUCAGACAUGCCGUACGAGAAGCCAUCAACACCCUUUCCUCUUCCAGGGAUGGAGUCCGGAUCUCGGAGGUGCUUGGUACAAUUAAGUGCUAUCUAGGUGGAACGGAAAACCAAGCCCCCCUAAAGGAGAGAGAGGAAUUUACCCAAUUGCAUUUUUCUGCCUUUCUGCGAAGUCUUGUUAGUAACCUGAGUGCAGAUUGGAUGGAACUACUUACAUCUGAUCAGCAAAAGGAAUUAUGGGAUAGCUUUUUCUUGGAAGGGCCAGCGGAUCAAGCCUUUCUGGUUCUGCUGGACUCCAUCAUUUCUACUGGUCCUGGCUUUCGCUUGAUGAAGCUCAUUAGCAUCCUGGAACAGUUUCUGCAGCUGGGAGGCAUGUCGGCUCUCAUGUGGGAGGUCUGUCACCAGCAGGCACAAGCUGGUUCACCCACAUUCCAAGAGACCCUCCUCAACAAAGUUGUGUGUCUGCCUGACCACUUGUGCAACAAACUCCAGGGGAAUAAUUUGCCUGUAUUCUUCCCACAAAACUACUUCCCUCUGCUGGCUACUGAAAUUAUCCAGGUGUUGCAGAGGAUCUGUGACUCUCUGCGAGGUGGCUUGGACUGUUCUGUCUCCUUCGUGUCACAGGUGCUGGGGAAGGUGUGCAUGCAUGGGAGACAAAGAGAAAUUCUGAAUAAGCUGGUGCCCUGUCUAGUGGAGCUCACCGAGGCGGACUGCGUCUGGCAGAGGGUGUGCUGGCGACUGGUGGAACGUGUGCCAGAUCGCUGGAUGGAAGCUGCAGUCUGCGGCUUUGUUCAGACAGCACCGGGGGCGGAUGUCUUGUCUCGAUUACUGGGGAACCUGGUUGUGAAAAACAAGAAAGCUCAGUUUGUGCUGACCCAGAAGCUGCUACUCCUGCAGUACGGCUGUGAGACUGCAGUGCUCCAGAGCCUCCUUGGCUACCUGGCCCUAGAUGGCCUUCGACGUUCCUUAUUGAUCAAGGUGCUGAGAGAGCUUCUGGAGACCUGGGGCAGCAGCAGUGCUGUGAAGCACUCUCCCGUUGAGCAACAGCUGCAUAUUAGCAAGGCCAUCCUGAUCUGCCUCGCCCUCUUGAAAGAGCCUGAAAUAGAGAACAACGGACAAGAGCUUCUUGCCAGCAUGAUGGGAGGCAUGAAAUGCCACCUGGACAGCAGCUUGCCCCGGGUUCGGCGCCUGGGAAUGGUGGUGGCAGAGAGCAUCAGUUCCAGAAUAACCACUGAUGGGCCCCGCCUGCAAUUCCAGUAUGAAGAUGAUGAUGAGACCAGAGAACUAAAGUUUCUCCUGAAGCAGCCGGCCCCACUGCAGCCCACUGUCCGGCAUGAUAGUCCAUCUGCUUCACCAAAAGCUGUGUCAAAACCAAGUGGGAGCCCACACCCAGGAGUCUCUGCAUUGCCAGAGGAGAGGUCUGACUCGGAGCUCGACAGUGAUGAUGACCUCAUCCCUUAUGACAUGUCAGAAGAUAAAGAGCUGAAGAAGAUGAAAGCCCCUGUCUAUAUCCGAGACUGUAUUGAGGUUCUAACGGGAUCUGAGGACCUGGACAUGUGGGAAGCUACAAUGAGGGUUUUGGAGAGUCUGAUUCGAAGGAAUUCAGCUACUGUCAGAGAGGUGAGCACAGAGCUGGCGAAAGUCCUGCUGCACCUGGAGGAAAAGACCCCCCUGGAUGGCUUUGCGGAGCUGCGUCAGAGAGCCCUCGUGGCUGUCACCACCACAGAUCCAGUGCCAGUGACGCAGUAUCUGACUUCCCAGUUGUACUCCCUGAACUACAGUCUCCGGCAGCGCAUGGACAUUCUAGAUGUCCUCGCUUUGGCAGCACAGGAACUUUCUCAGCCCCAGGUCUCUGGGAAAACUAAGCCCUGCAGCGCCCAGCAUCCCUGCCCCCAGGCGCUCCCUGCCACUGGCAGCUCCCAGGACUGGAGAAGGGCUGUGGACGAGAGGAUCAAAAGCAAGACGCGCUAUUUGGCAAAGGGUCGGUGUCUAGCGGAACCGGCUUGUGGCCCGAACAGGUUCAGUUCCUUAGCUGGGCAUUUCUUCUUCCCUCUGCUUCAGGGCUUUGACAGGCCCCUGGUGACCUUUGACCUUUUAGGAGCUGAUCACCUGGUGCUGGGCAGGCUGGCGCACACUCUGGCAGCCCUGAUGCACUUCGCUGUGCGCUCUGUGGCAGCCACUGCCAUGGGAAAGGCUCUGCUGGAGUUCGUCUGGGCCCUGCGCUUCCACACGGACGCGUACGUGCGUCAGGGCCUCCUGUCUGCAGUUUCCUCCACCCUGCUGAGUGUCCCUAGUGAGCGCCUGCUGGAGGACAUGACAGACGAGUUCCUGGAGACCCAGUCCUGGCUGGCAGAUGUAGCUGAGAAGGACCCGGAUGGGGACUGCAGGAGGCUGGCCUGCCACAAUCUGCUGCUAAUGGAGAACCUGUUAAAGAAACUCUGAUGUGGUGGGGGAAUAGAAAAGAGCUGCCCUUUGCCUUGCAUGCCAGCUGCAUGGUCACUAAUGCCAGGGCUGGCGCCGGGAGAGAGGGAACACUACAGCCCUUCUAACAUCCAGAGCCUGUUCCUUAGGUGAGGCAUGAGGCUUUGGGAAGAAAACUGGCAAGCAGGUAUCUUGUGACAUAUGAAAAUCAGCGACCACCUUAGAGAGGAAAGCCAGAUGGGGACACAGUCUGAGACCCUCCUUGCUGAGGUGAUCGCGAUCAAAAAUGCCACCUUCCAUGACAGGUGUCUCAAAGAGCAGGUGGCCAGUGGCUCAAAGGGUGCCUUCAUGAGACCCAUCAGGACUAGAUUAAGAUCCCAGGGUGGCACCGGGGGGCAUAUAUAGGGAAACCGCUUGUCCACCCCUUUCAUGAAGCAUUUUACCAUUGUAUUGGCGAACAUGGACCUGUGACUUCCCCAGGGUGAAAGGCUGCAAUCGCUGCUAAAUGCACCUUCAGGGAGGAUGUAGCGAGGCCCUGGUGUCUAAGGUGUAGUAGAUAACCCAAGAUAAGGGGGAUUGUGGGACUCAUCGGGUCUAUCCCCCCUUUGCUCUGUCCACAAGGCAAAACCCCUCCACUUGGCUUCAUACAGCGCCCUGGUAGAAUGUUUUCUAGUCUCUAGCAGCACCUUCUGAACCUCCUGUGAGCUAACCCCGUCAACCACACAGGUUCCAUGCUGCUAGGUGGAGGGCUGCCAGAUUCAUGUGGCACAGCCUCCCUUCUCCCAAAUCCUGGGUGAUCAAGUCUGGGACUAACGGCAGCAUCACCAGGUCUUCCACCACCAAAUCUAACAGUGUGAUGAACCAGUGUUGGCAAGGCCACGCCAGCACCAUCAUGAUGACGGCUGCCCCGAAUCGCCUGAUCCUGAUGAGGGCCUCAUGAAUUAGUGGGAAGGGGGGAAAUGCAUACAGUUGCUCCCAGAGCCACUGGAUAUGUAAUGCAUCCCCUUGAGUCCCAAGACCCUGGCCCAUGAAUAAUCAGUAACUCUGGCAUUGGACAUUCCUUCAGGUGGCAAACAGGUCCAGACGGGGCUAACCUCACCUCUGGAAGACAUCCCCCUGGAAGACCGACUGAGCUUGUCCAGCAGAACAUUGCUGGACCCCGGAAGUUACGAGCCACGCGGACAGAGCGAGGUGAUCCGGUUGUGGAUGAAGCAGUUGCCUGUGAUCCUGUGUCAGUAGAUCGAGGCGACUGGGAAGAUGGUACAGAGGAUGAGGAGACAUGCUGAACAGGAUUAACAUGAGAGGGAGCUGUUUCUCCGUCUGCGCCCGAAGACGGUUAGGGUUAGGCACUGGUGGGAGCCGGACAACACGGCAAGAAACGACACAAAAAGCUGCAAGAUGGCCACCGCGUAUGUGGAAGACAACGGCUAAAAGAUCUCCCAUCUGCAGUGCCAGGACGAGCCCGACACCCACAGUGGAGCACCCACGGGGACACUGCCCAAAGAAGAAGCAGCUGUUACAACUUUGCACUUACCAUGCAGAGGCAAACAGAUGUGCGACAAGAGGAGCUUGUGCACAUUUGCUCUUUGGGGACUUCAGAGAAACAAAACGGGUUGUGACACAGAGCUUCCUGGAAGCUGAGUGCUUGAGCAGCCGCCCAGGAGAGAAUCAGGUGCCACCCAGCUGAUUAGUGGAGUGCCCACAGAACCCACAGUUGGCAGCAGGUGUUUCUAUUGGUGGGGCACAUCUACACACACAUUGGUGCACAGAACAAAAUGUAUUCUGCCCGUGGAUGGAAAAACUGAGCGGGAAUCCAAAGUGGCACUGGAAAUGAUUUCUGGAGUGGGGGUGCUGAGCUGCAUCCCUGCUUACCUCUGUCCACGCGCCUCACUGCCCCAAAGAGCUGGGGCUGGCAGCCAGGACCCCAGGCCUGAGACCCUGCACGUGGGGCUGGAGACCGAGCAGGACCUGGUCACUGUGCAUGAAAACAACAGCCAAUUGGGACUCGGGGUGGGCUGAUGGUGGGAGUCUGAGGAACUGAAUGUAGCUCUAGUGCUGAACCCUUUGCACUGGGAAUGCCCAGUUCAAGCCAACAGUCAUAUCGAUCAGCUAAAUGCAAUAGCCAGGGGUGCAUAGGAAAUACCUGGCUGACUAUUGGGUCUUAACUGACACUCAGCCAGAGAUCCCAAAGAUGCCCUGACAGCGCUAGAAUCUUUUGAUCCCAUAGUGCUCACGGAGAGAAUUCCCCAUCGCUAACACACUGAUCUGAAAUGCGCUGUCAGCACUCUGAAAUCUCAGACCUAUGGGAAUGACAGUUCUCGCCAGAUGCUAUUCUCACAUUCAGCACUGAAAUUUAGGGAUAGACAGCAGGACACAAAUAUUUCAUUGUGGAGCUCAGAUUACACAUAAGGCUAUUUAAAACAAAACCCCAAACUAACAGAAAUCCCAGAGGCAAAACUGACUGUUGUCAGUCUGUGCAGCACCUAGUACAGUAGGGCCUGGUCCCAAGCAAUACACCUAGGUCCUACAGCAAAACUCUAAAUAUAUCUGUGGAGGGGCACCCUGGAGAGGCCAGAGCUAUUGAAGCUCAAGGAUAAUGCUGGCCCAAGAACAAGUGGAUACAAACGGGCCAUGAACACAUUCAGGAUGGAAAUUAGAAGAAGGGGUUUAACCAUCAGAAGGGUGAGAUUCUAGAACAGCUUCCCAAGAGGAGUCGGGGAGGCAAACAAUUUACUAGCUUUAAGAGAGAGCUGGACAAACUUCUGAGUCCAGCUGAAGGUCAGGGUUGGUUGUGAUGGCGGGGACAAGUCCUUUCUUUAUAUUUCAGUUUUAUGCUCCUAAAGCUCAACAUUCAGGACUUCAGCUGGUCAUGUACAGAGGUCAGAAAAAGAUUCCCAUCCCCCCUAGUGUAUUCUGUUUUUUUCAAAUCAUCUUCUUCCUCUGAAGGUCAGCAAUGACCACUGUUGGAGAUGAGUGGUCCGCUCUCUGAGGUGGAAUACGUAUUCUCUCUCACGCUUAGCUGGCUGCUUCUUGCGCACAUGCUCAGAGUCAAACUGACCAUCAUCUGUGGGGUCAAGAAGUAAUUUUCCCAUAGGUCAGACUGGUGGUGACUUGCAGUUUUUUAGCUUUCCUCUGCAGCCUGGUGUACAGGCCAUUUGCGGGAUUAUCUGGAGGCCCUCAGGCUAAGGAUGUGAGCAACUAGUCGAUGAAUCAACUAUCUGAUAAACAAAGUCUUAUCGGAUAGUCGACAUACUAGUCAACUAGUCGCUUCCCCUCCCUCUUGCAGCCUCUAUCAGAAAGAGGCAGCAAGGAGAGAGGGGCAGAAAAGGAAGUGCUUCUAAGCGGCAGCACCCAGGCUCCACGCAGAGCUGCCGCUUUGAAACUCCAUGUGCAGCCCAGGCAGCUGGCCCAGGCUGCUUAUGGCAUUUCAAAGUGGUAGUGCCGCGUGCAGCCUGGGGUCUGCUGCUUUGAAAUGCCGUGUGCAGCCUGGGGCCAGCUGGGGACUGGACUCCCAGCUGGUCCCAGGUUAUAUGCAGCGUUUUAAAGCAGCAGCGCCAUGUGGAGCCCUGGGUUAGCUGGGGAUUCUGAGUCCCCAUGUAGCGUUCCCACUUUGAAAGACUGCGGGGGAGCACGGGACCAGCAGGGAACUGCUUGAGUUCCCCGCUGGCCCCAUGCUUCCCCCAGCACUUUUGCCUUUGAAGUCAGAGGCAGAGGCUUAUCAGCUACUCAAAUAAUCGAUGCAAACUGCAUCAACUAUUCGAUUAGCCAGUUAAUCUAAAUGUAACAUCCCUACCUCAGGUACUGGCACCAAACAGUCCAGUCUCCUGCAGACUGUUAUACUUUAGUCUCAUUUGGUUCUAGAGUUUAAUGUGUGAGACAGGAUGGAAGUUCAGACUAGAUGAUCGGGGGGGCUCUCUCUGGCCAUAAACUCCAUAACUAAUUAACAAAAGUAACAACUUAAAGUAAAAGUCAAUUUCAAACAGACGAAUUAAAUGCAUCAGCAAGUCCUGCCCUUGAAUCUCCGUCUUCUUUGCACGUUUUGUGGUUUCACAAUCACAUUCUUCUAUUUUUAUAACAAUGUUUUUCUCUUCCCUGUUGCUGAGGGAGACACACACACAAAUGGGGAAACUGACUAAACAGGAAACAGCAAAAACCAGACUAGAUACAAUCUACCCUCACACACACAGUGGAAAACACUGAAAGAGAAC